rnacentral:rRNA from 2 species
GCUAGUAAUCGUGGAUCAGAAUGCCACGGUGAAUACGUUCCCGGGCCUUGUACACACCGCCCGUCACACCAUGGGAGUGGGUUGCAAAAGAAGUAGGUAGCUUAACCUUCGGGAGGGCGCUUACCACUUUGUGAUUCAUGACUGGGGUGAAGUCGUAACAAGGUAACCGUAGGGGAACCUGCGGUUGGAUCACCUCCUUACCUUAAAGAA